AGUUAUGGCAGCUGUGCGUGGGGCACCUUUGUGUGCGCCGGGAUUCUCAGUGCCCCCGGGUCUGUCAACCCACAAACAGCUGCCACCCUU
rnacentral:antisense_RNA from 1 species